UAACAACUGUUUUAGCUUUUGUUUGGGUGUAUAAAGUAUUUGAAACAGGUCAAGAGGGACUUUGGAUAAGCUUCACUAUUAAGAAAGAGGAAUCCGGCAAGAGUUGUAUUAAAUUGCUCUUAUGUUGUUUUUGAAAGUAAGAAUCAAGAUGUCCAGUGCCUAUAAAAUGAACUGUAAUGACCUUGGAAAUGAAAUACCUCCAUCUAUUGUCCUGAAGAGCAGUCAGUGUUUUGAAUCUCUAUGAGGUUGGCUUCUUCACCUGCUAG
rnacentral:lncRNA from 1 species